GCAGCACGGACUUCGGUCUGGUGGCGAGUGGCGAACGGGUGAGUAAUACAUCGGAACGUGCCCUGUUGUGGGGGAUAACUAGUCGAAAGAUUAGCUAAUACCGCAUACGACCUGAGGGUGAAAGCGGGGGACCGUAAGGCCUCGCGCAAUAGGAGCGGCCGAUGUCUGAUUAGCUAGUUGGUGGGGUAAAGGCCCACCAAGGCGACGAUCAGUAGCUGGUCUGAGAGGACGAUCAGCCACACUGGGACUGAGACACGGCCCAGACUCCUACGGGAGGCAGCAGUGGGGAAUUUUGGACAAUGGGGGCAACCCUGAUCCAGCAAUGCCGCGUGUGUGAAGAAGGCCUUCGGGUUGUAAAGCACUUUUGUCCGGAAAGAAAUGGCGCUGGUUAAUACCUGGCGUCGAUGACGGUACCGGAAG
rnacentral:rRNA from 1 species